UUACCGCUAAGGGAAGGUUAAAUUAAUUAAUUUUUCCAGUCAAAUUCAAUUUUUUAGGUCUGAAAAAACCGUUUUUACAGAAACAACCAUAAUUCUGCCAUAAAGAGUCUUAGAGGAAUGGUUGAUACAGUUCUGGAAAGUAGAUUAAUUAAUGUUCAAACUAGUUUUUAAUUUUAUUUGAAUUUCCCGCUUAUACAGACGAUAUAGAGCCUUGAAAAUGACCCAAAUAAUUUUUUUUAGGUGCAAAAACCUCUUUUACAGAAGCAACCAUAAUUUUGCCAUAAAUAACCUUAGAGGGAUGGUUGAUACGGGUCCAAAAACCUCUUCUAGUGAAACGACCAUAAUUCUGCUAUAAAGAAGUUUAGGAGGAUGAUUUAUACAGUUCUGGAAAAUAAAUUUAUUAAUUUUUAA